rnacentral:rRNA from 1 species
UAUUGCACAAUGGGGGAAACCCUGAUGCAGCGACGCCGCGUGAGUGAAGAAGUAUUUCGGUACGUAAAGCUCUAUCAGCAGGGAAGAAAAUGACGGUACCUGACUAAGAAGCCCCGGCUAACUACGUGCCAGCAGCCGCGGUAAUACGUAGGGGGCAAGCGCUAUCCGGAUUUACUGGGUGUAAAGGGAGCGUAGACGGCAGCGCAAGUCUGGAGUGAAAUCCCGCAGCUCAACUGCGGAACUGCUUUGGAAACUGUGCAGCUGGAGUGCAGGAGAGGUAAGCGGAAUUCCUAGUGUAGCGGUGAAAUGCGUAGAUAUUAGGAGGAACACCAGUGGCGAAGGCGGCUUACUGGACUGUAACUGACGUUGAGGCUCGAAAGCGUGGGGAGCAAACAG